ensembl:lncRNA
AGAAAGAAGUAAGCAGCAGUUUUUUGUUAUUAUUAUUUACAUAGAACUUUCAAAGAUCAUAAAUAUUAACUUACCUUCAAUGUCUUUCUGUGAAAUUUCAUUUUCCAUACUGAUCCAUUAAGGUCUGAAGUUUCUGAACUGUUGUUAAUGCUACCAGGUGGAUGCAAGCUUGGAUUCUAUCCCUUCUCAACUUCUUGUAAACUCUGAAAUCUGUAAAGGAGGUCAUGAAGAAAGGAUAUCUGGAGUCAACUUGGCUCACACAUCUUAGUCCAGAAGAGGCACUGAUUCAGCUGGAUGGGACACAGCACUCAUUGCUGGAGGCCUGAAGUUUCCAAAGAGAUUAAGGUCGAGAAAGUAUAUAAAUGAUAACUUUGAUGACAUUUCUGGAGGAUGAAGAGCAGCAAUGAUAACUGAGACUAUACGUGUGAGUGCCAUUCAAAAGGGCUUAGGAAAUAUCAGUCACACCCUGAGGGUACAUCUAAUCUGGACUGCACUCCCUGCUCCUAGUCAAUACACAUUUCAUCAUGUCAUCCAAGCUGAUUGCCAAGAAUCCUUCCUACUGAAUCAUAUAUUUCUGAGCUGCCAUCACUCCAAACUGCAUGGCUGCCAUGUUCACAUCUACUGGUGUCAGCACUGCAAAAGGAGAUGAGAAAGAUCCUUAUCCCCAUUUGACAACCCUCUCCUGGACCAGAACAGAAGCACAUGGAUCCUAUCCCUCCUUCUUCCCUCCUUUAGCAAAGUCGGACAUAACUGGAGCAGAAGCUUCAACAGACAUAGCAGCAGACUCCUGUUCAAGUGCUCUGAAGAAGGGUAAGGAAAGUGAGAGUUCAUGUGGUAAAAUAACAAAACAAAUAUCUGAAUGGCCACAGAGUGCAUGUUGUGAUUUGAGAGGUUUGUGGUUUUAAAUAAAGUAUAAAUGAGCAAUAAGAUUAGAAACUUCAUUUGUUAAAGUUUGCAUUUCCC